rnacentral:lncRNA from 1 species
UCAUUAGAUCAUAGAGUUGAUAGAUUUUAAUUGUAAGAGUCUUGUAAUCAUCUGAACAUCGAGUUAUAGUGCAUGAUCUUUGUCCAGAGAAGGGAACACGUGAUUUUUCUUUCAUUCAAGGGUUUCCACGGUAAAAAUCUUGUGUAUUUCUUGGUUAAUGGGUUUGUUUCUUUUUAUAUCUUGAAUCUUACAAUAUUGCACAAAGUCGUGAUAUUCAUUUAAUAUUGUAGUUUUUAGAUCAUUGGGUAAAACAUAGACAAAUGUUAGGUUUUCUAAAUGUCAAUUACACAAAUAGAUACACAGUAUUAUUAUACAUAGAGGGAGCAAUAGCCCACAAGUAGAAGUUUCAGUUUCACCACACCCAUAUUAUUAACAGAUGGAAAUAUAUAUUUAUUCUUGAGAGGUACACACUGAUCACACAUCUACUGCUCCAUACCAAGUAAGCCAGAUAAUGGCAUUUAUAUCUCCAUUAUAUCACUUGAGAUGGUGGGUCUCAAUGUCUUUUGUGAUCUCAAUACAGAGGUCCAUCAAUUUGUUUGGCUCUUCAACAUCUUCUUUCGGCUUUUCAUAGUGAAAGUUCCAUGUCACCGAGGUGUUUUCCCCUUUUGUGUCCACAUGAACAACAAUCAUAAAGGUCUUGUACAGAUCCAUAAGAUCUCCUUCAACAACCUUGAAUGUCACGGACUUGGUUUCUUCUUCAGUUCUUCUAUUGCUUCAACAAUUUCCUUAGCAGCCUUCUCCUUUCUAUCUGUGGUUUUCAUCACAUUAAAUGCAACUUCUUAAGUCAAGCUAGUCAAGGCGUAUCCACAAUUUUAAUUUUGGGGAGCUGAAUAUAUAUAUAAAACACAUAAUUUGUAAAUUACACAUGUAAUAUAUUGGACCUAGAAUUUCUCUCCUAGGUGCUUUCAAUUGCUUGUAAUAAAACAUAAUAUUUUUAUGUAAUUUUUAUAUAUUUUAUAUUUUGAGUAUUUGUCUGUGAAUCCAACCCUAUAGUUGUAAUUUAAAGAAAUUCUGAAACUACGAGGACAAAAGUGCAAUUUUGUACUAGAGGAGGUUAAGAAGACUAUAAAUACAUGAGGGAGGCAACCCUAAUUGGGAGUAAGAGCCAACAAUAUUGUUUAUCCAUGCUCUUUGUGUACUUGAGAGAUUUUUAGAGAAAUCAUUGAGCUUCAUCUUUUCUCUUAAGGUGUGUUUAUCAUAAACUCAUCAAAUCAAGAUUUAAAUCCUUUGGACAUACUCAAAGGCGGAUAGAUUUAAGUUCAAUUCAUAGAUGAUUGUUGAUGAUUCAAUACUCAACCAUUAACUGAAGCGUAGAUCGUGGACUCAGUCAGUACUAGGAUCACAUUCACAUGUUCGAGGAUUUGACACCUAAGGCGCGUGAAUUUAGUUAGAUUGAGUUUGUAAGUUAUAACUUAUAUUUUGCAUAGUGGAUUAGUUGAUCGUACUUAGUUCCAGAUUUUUUUUUCUACUUUGAGAUUUUGCACGUAAAAAAUUGCUUGUUUUUGUGUGUGCUUGAUUUUAUAUUUAUUUGAGGUUUUUAUUUGUUUGGUUAAAUAGCUUCGCAAAUUCAUAAAACGAAUAAAACUAUAUUUUUAAUUUUACAAUUGGUAUCAGAGCGGGUCACUCAAAAUAAAAUAUUUUUUUAUUUUUUUUCAGAGUAUGGUCUGAUUGAUUUGUUUCUAUGUAUAAAUUUGAUCGUAAGAAGCUUGACAAUAUUCAACAAGCCUAUGAUAACUUUGUAAGGAGUCUUAUGAGAAGAACAAAAUUUAUGAAAAAUGUAAUGCAAAAGUGGAAUCACUUAAGAAGUCUUAAGAGAUGAAUAUAAAUAAGAGCUAAUUGAAGCUCAAGCUACCGUGGGUGAAUUGAAUCGUAUAAUGCUACUUUGUCUAAAAAAAAAAUUAUUAUUGAAAAAGAGAAAAAAUAAAUAUUUGAUAAGUUGAAUUUACUUUUUGAAAAACAUUUAAAACCUGACAAAGAUAUGCAUUUGUGUCUUGAGUCAAAAGAUAAUCUUGAGGAAAAAGUGGGUAAAUUAGAAUUUGAUCUUAGUGCUUCUAAUGCUACUCUCGAGAAGUUUAAUGCAGAUUCAAAGGUUUUGGAUGAAAUUAUUUGCGUGCAAAAAUUUUCUUCUGACAAGAGAGGACUUGGAUAUGUUGAUAAGCCUUCAUCUUCUUCCAAAUCGGGGAACAUGGAUAUUUUUGUGAACCCUAAAAAAUGUGGUUCCAAUCUUUCCAAGGCCAACCAAACAAAGGGAUCUCCUAAGAAAACCGUCACAAAUGUAUAGGUAAAAUCAUCUAAUUUUAAUCUUGUUUGCCAUCAGUGUAGUGUCCAUGGUCAUAUUAGGCAUUUAUUGAUUUAAUGAUUGUUUUGAUGAUAUUUGAUGAUGUCAAGGUUUCAUCAUGUAUGGUCUUAAUAUUGAUAUAUGCACAAAAUGUAUAUAUAUAUAUAUAUAUAUAUAUAUAUUAUUUAUCAUAUUAAUACAUAUAUAUUAGAUUCAUGGUAU